AAUGAAUUGUUUAAUAGCCGCAGUAUCUUGACUGUGCAAAGGUAGCAUAAUAAAUUGUCUUUUAAUUGGAGGCUGGAAUGAAUGAUGGGAUGUGAUAGGGGCUGUCUUUAUAAUAGGUGAUUGAAAUUUACUUUUUGAUGAGAAGGUUAAAAUUGGAUUGGUAGACGAGAAGACCCUAUCAAGCUUUAUUUGAGAUGAUGACUUUGUUCAUUUAAUCUGGUGAGCGGGUUAGCAUUUGAAUUUUGUUGGGGCAACACUUGAAUAUAUUAUAAUUUUUUGCUGUUUUAUUGGUGUUUGAUCCAUUAUUAAUGAUUGGUAGAAUAAGUUACUGUAGGGAUAACAGCGUAAUCAGUUUGGAGAGUUCAUAUUGGUAAAUUGGAUUGCGACCUCGAUGUUGGUUUAAUGAUUUUUAGGGUGCAGCAG
rnacentral:rRNA from 1 species